GUACUUAAAAGAAAGAGAAAAGGAGAUAACCGAAGAGAAUAUCAUGUCAGUCCGAUUUAUUGCUGCGGGACCUUGAUUUGAAUGUUUGGGCCGACCCAGACCAUGUCUUUUCUGAGGAGGAACGAGAAGGAAAAAAACCCCACAAAGAAUAAAAUUCUUGUGAAGCAGAAAUCAAGUUUGCAUGAUCCUCUAUUCUCGAUGUUGCCUGCUAGCUAGCUCAUGGACGCCGUACUUUUUUCUACUUUCUCCUUACCACCGCUUACCUUUCUGAGGAUCAAGCACACAUGCAUCUAGAACACAAAAACUUCAGAUCUUUUCAUCUUUCAGGAAAAAAUAUUCCAUUAAUUACUUUGUUCCUUAUAGGCAGUAACAAUUGUUGGACCGAGAAAUUAAGCACCCACAAGCCUGCAUAUGCCUUUCAAAGAAGUAUCAGAGCUUAUACUUGCUUCCAGCUCUAGGUAAAGUAGCAUAGAAAGCUGUGAAACUUUAUGGGAAGUCAAGCCCUUUCCGGUAAGCGAGCCCUUUCCUUUUCUUUUGAACACCUUUCCAUUCGAUUAAGGUUUCAUAGUUUCUAAUCAAGAUAUCACAUCAUAUAUUGAUAUUUAAACAAGUAAUAAUCUUGCUAGCUAUCCCGAUGUCUGACCACUUAGCUAGGAAAUUAAGGAGGAACAAGGGCAUGUACAGGGAGGCCAUAUAGUUUUUUCUUAGCCAUAUCGUAUCAUCGAGCAGUGAAGCUGGCAAUUGAAGCCCUUCCUUUUUGUUAACCCAAUAAAUGACGUUUUGGAUUUUUCUUUUUUUUUUUUAAAGAAAGGUUACAAAUUGUAACUUUGAAUAAAACAUAAAAGGGAGUGUGAUAUUAUCUUUUAAUAGAUUAUCAAAUACUUAAAUGUUACAGUCGCAUUCACAAUUAAAUUGGUGAUUCUCAGAUAGACACUAAUUGAUCAAGACAAGUAUAAUUGUAGACAAUUCAAUUUAUAUUCUUAAAACUAUAGGUUUUAAUUCCAUCUAAAGAAUGCUGCUAGCUUCAUUGGAAUACAAGCAACAAAACUAAUUAACUUCAGAGGAUUGCUUGAGGAGGUUGGCUCUCUUUCUUAAUUGUCAAAUCUUAUCUAAAUAUUAUUCUCAUGAAUUCCUAGUUCCGGCACAUCAUAUAUAUAUAUUCACACACACACACACACACAUAUAUGAUCAUAGCAAUCUCUCUAUAAACAAAAACUAGUUCGAGAGUACAAGCUAGCAGUAAAUUCCAACGAAGAAAAAAAAAAGAACACAAGAAAACCAGUCUUUGAUGAAUUAAGAAACUGUAUUAAAGAUUAAGGCAUGAAAGAGCUUGAAAGUUUUUAAUUUUGUGAUUUAUUUCUUCUAUCAAGUACAAAAGUAUCAAUAAAAUCAAACAAGCACUUACUGUGUUAACAUAACCUUACUAAAGUGAAACUCUAGGAAUCUAGCUGGUAACUUCUCAACAUUAACCCGAUAAUACUCUAUUACAGGCUCAAAAUCCCAGUCAAAAACCUUAAUCCGUAUUGCUCUAUGAGUGAAAGUUUCUCCGGUGAGAAACAAUUUUAUGCUGCAUGCAUGUGUUGGCCACAAACUGCAUACUCUAAUAAAUUCAAGGAUAUGCAUAUGCUUACAUUUUUGAAUGUAUACUAUAAUGCUAUAUAGAGCACUAAUUAAUAGCUUUUCUUUAAGAAGUUUAAACAGUAGCGAUCACUUUCAUGAAAACUUGCAGCACCUGUACAAGUGCUUCUAAUAUCUUACUGCCAAAAGAUGCAUGGAAGUCAGUACCACAACUUGAUAUAUCUUGAUUUGUGUAUUAUUGUAAUAAAACUGAUUCUUAACACAAAAAGUUUAAGAUUUUCAAUCAUUUGGCUGCCGCUUAUAUAAAUUUUUAAUUUUCUUUUCCGACACAAGUAUGGGAGAAAACAAUUAAUAUAUAUAAGACCAUUGACCAAGCUUUUAUUAAUGUGCUGAAAAUGUUGGACUAUACCACAAGAUUUUCAUUUCCAGCCCUAUUUUUUGCUCAUUUGGCUUUCCAUAGAUGCAUACCGAGUCUUAAUUAGUUCGAACUUGUUCAUCCAAUUGUAUGUUUUUUUGUGGAAAGUUAUCCUAGUCAGCUGACCAUAAACUACCAUCUUAUAAUGAAUUUAGAGGAGAAAUCGGGAAAAUUUUAAAAUCAAGCAUCUUCUCCAUAUAAAGAUUGAUACUACUUUUUUGAUAUUGAUGGUGGAAAAUAUAACAGCCUCAAAUAUUCCAAAUAAAGCUGAAUCAUCUUUUUCAGUGACAGAGAGCAAACUGGAGCAUAUACUUUAUUUAUUUAGUUUUUCGCACUCGGAUAGAAACAAAUGGAAAGUAUAGAAGAGAUAAAUACUUACAAAUAAUAUAAACAUCACAAAUUUUUAAUCUCAUGGAAGAAUGUAGGAAUAGAAAGAGGACUAGGGUUCUUCAGUCAUCCAAAGUGGUAGAAAGAGUGUAAUGAAGAAAUCAAAUUAAAAAUAACCACAGUAUUUUUUUUUAUUUUUAGAAUGAGAUAAUUAAACCCAAGUAAUUGUAACUUGACUGAGAAUCUCAAGCUUAGUUACGAGUUAAUGCAAUACAAUUGUAAUACAAGAAGAAAAUGAGGUUAUAUUUCAUUGUGUUCUACCGAAGAUAUCAAGAGGAAAAGUGCUUGUUCAUGGUAGUAAAUAGCAAAUACCACCACCGGGGAAAAAACCCAGAGACACUUUCUCAACUAUUUUGAGAUUUACAUGCAGUUAUGAACAUUUUUCUUCCAUAGAAGGAAAGCAAGGGAUGUCGUCAUGCAUCAAGACAAGAUCCAUGGAAGAAAUCCUUAGAGAUCACUGAAAUCACAAGUCUUUAGUUAACAAUUAAUGGAGAAAGGGAUAAGAAAAGGUGAAGAUUUUACAAAGCUCAACUGCAAAUGGUUUAGACAAAAUUAAACAUGGUAUGCUAAAAUGAGAAGGGUCCCUUUUUUUGUUUCCAAAUUUGGCCAUGCUUCAAACCUCAUCAUUGAACAACAAAAUCAUAUGAGGACAAAUGAAUAUCAUAGUAAUAGGAAUCGUGCUUCACUUAGUAUAUAUAGAUGAUAAACCAUACAAAUUACGUGCUUUAUAAUACAUAAACUGACUAAUUUUCAGUCACAUCUACAUGAAAAUCACACACCAUAUGCUAGUACAACACUCUUCGAAUUUAACAGCGACGGCCGGGAACUUAAUCCCUUAUUUUAGACGGUAUUUAAUUUGAAAUCCACACAACAUUAAAGG